rnacentral:rRNA from 1 species
AUUGAACGCUGGCGGAAUGCUUUACACAUGCAAGUCGAACGGCAGCACGGACUUCGGUCUGGUGGCGAGUGGCGAACGGGUGAGUAAUACAUCGGAACGUGCCCAGUCGUGGGGGAUAACGUAGCGAAAGCUACGCCAAUACCGCAUACGAUCUGAGGAUGAAAGCGGGGGACCGUAAGGCCUCGCGCGAUUGGAGCGGCCGAUGGCAGAUUAGGUAGUUGGUGGGGCAAAGGCCUACAAAGCCGACGAUCUGUAGCUGGUCUGAGAGGAUGAUCAGCCACACUGGGACUGAGACACGGCCCAGACUCCUACGGGAGGCAGCAGUAGGGAAUUUUGGACAAUGGGCGCAAGCCUGAUCCAGCCAUUCCGCGUGCAGGAUGAAGGCCCUCGGGUUGUAAACUGCUUUUGUACGGAACGAAAAGGCUCUGGUUAAUACCUGGGGCUCAUGACGGUACCGUAAGAAUAAGCACCGGCUAACUACGUGCCAGCAGCCGCCGUAA